UGUUUGUCAUUUUUUUUUUGUUUUUUUGUUUUUCGUUUUCCUGCUUCCCAACUUUUAUAAAAUGAAUCAACAAACGAUUUGGAAAGAGUUGGGAAAAAACAAAACGAAAAAAACGAAAAAAAAUGUUU
rnacentral:ribozyme from 1 species